UUAGCUAUUAUAGUUAAGUUUGUAUUUAUGAUAUAAAUCGAAAAUCAUAGGUACAAACGGAAAAUUGUUUGUAUCUAUGAUGGCUAAAUUUAGCUUGUACUUAGGCCACAUAGAUAUACUAUGUGGCUUUUUUAAUCCUAGGCAAAAAAGGCUGCAUAGUAUCCACUAUGUGGCCUUUUUGCAUAUACUUUAUAAAUUAUUAA
rnacentral:ncRNA from 1 species